rnacentral:lncRNA from 1 species
UCUUUCCUUCCCAAGAAGGCCGAAUGGGGCGCCACGCGCCAGGCCGCCGCUCCCAAGCCGAUGACCGUCUCCAUGGUUGUCCGUGCCAGCGCGUACGCCGAUGAGCUUGUGAAAACCGCGGUAUGCUUUCUUAACACCGACAGUAUAAUUCUACAAUUUUGCCAUGCAUAUGCGUGUAUUUGUUUGAUCUUUGAUGGGCAGUAACUUCUGGCUAGAAUCCUCUUUACAUCAGUGGGAAGGGGAGAUCUCGACGUAUUGUCAAUACAGAAACUACCACUGAUAAGGAGAUAAAUCAAAUGUAUUCUUAUUAGGAUGAACAGUUACCCUAGUACCAUUUAUCAUAAUCCAGUGGACGUAAGACAAAUGUUUUGUCAGGCAGAGUAAUAUUAUUUGGCUGUUUUUUAUCAUACUGAAACCACUAGCCCGGAUCAACAUUCAUAACAUAUUUUUUUCUAUAUUGCAUUGGUACAGUAAAUUUUCUAUCUUCAUCGCUGCAAGCUAAAUAGAUAUGAUUGACGUUGUGUUGUACCAAAAAGGAGCUUGUGAAACAACAAACAUAAGCGUGUAUGUUUCUGGAUUAAACAUCUGCAGUAAGCCAUGAGGCACGUUAAUCACCACUAGCUGUAAUGAUAAGGGCAGGAUGCAUCAUGGUACACAGAAAUUAAACAACCCGCAUUCCAGUGAUAUCAUUGUUUGAAUCCAUGUGUCCUGCUUAAGCUCAGCAAUCCAUCCGAAGGUUCAUAAGUCAUAACAAAACUACAUAGUUGCUUUUAACGUCCAAUCAUCAAGUUUACAAGAGUAAAAUCUCUACUAAAUGAGUAAGACUUCCAUGGUUCAACAGAUAUCAAGCUUUAUUCUUCCUGAUGCAGAAAACCAUCGCAUCGCCUGGCAGGGGUAUCCUUGCCAUGGAUGAGUCGAAUGCUACCUGUGGCAAGAGACUUGCCUCGAUUGGCCUUGAGAACACCGAGGCUAACCGCCAGGCUUACCGGACCCUCCUUGUCACUCCACCAGGCUUGGGAAACUACAUCUCUGGUGCUAUCCUCUUUGAGGAGACCCUCUACCAGUCGACUGUUGAUGGCAAGAAGAUUGUUGACAUCCUUGUCGAGCAGGGGAUCGUUCCCGGUAUCAAGGUUGACAAGGUAGGUUGAUUUCACUCCAAACUAACACAUGGUUUUUGUUGUGCAUUCCGUUAUCAAAGUUGUUAUAUUAUAUCAAUUGUGAAACUAAGAUACAAACUGCUUCUACUAUUAAUGCAUCAGAAUAAUCAUAUGUUUUCUUGUUGAACUACAUGUACAUGGCAUGAUUCUCCAUGUCACUAGCUUUACAUUUCAAGCAAAACCAGAUGAUCCCAGGUUUAUUUGAAGCCCAGAAAUCAAACAUUCUUCUAAACUGGUGCUCAUUCUCAGGGUCUUGUGCCACUUGUUGGUUCCAACGAUGAGUCAUGGUGCCAAGGCCUCGAUGGCCUUGCCUCCCGUGAAGCAGCAUACUACCAGCAAGGCGCCCGCUUCGCCAAGUGGUUAGAAAUUUGCACCUAUGAGGAUUGAGGACAGUCUACCUUCUAUCAGCUCAUAGCUUCAUGCUCCUCUGGCUGACAUGAAGUUCACUUGCAGGCGCACUGUUGUCAGCAUUCCUAACGGACCAUCUGAGCUUGCUGUCAAGGAAGCUGCCUGGGGUCUUGCCCGUUACGCGGCCAUCUCACAGGUAUUGUUGCCAUUUCCUAACAGACCAAACUUCUAGAGCACAAUGGUGAGGCACAACAUUCUAGUGGAUAUGUAAACCUCUUGUUUGUCGAUGUUCUAGGACAAUGGGCUGGUGCCGAUUGUGGAGCCUGAGAUCAUGCUCGAUGGUGAGCACGGCAUCGAGAGGACCUUCGAGGUGGCGCAGAAGGUGUGGGCGGAGACCUUUUACUACAUGGCCCAGAACAACGUCAUGUUUGAGGGCAUCCUCCUGAAGCCAAGCAUGGUGACCCCUGGUGCCGAGUGCAAGGACAGGGCCACCCCUGAGGAAGUAGCCAGCUACACCCUCAAGCUCCUCCAGAGAAGGAUCCCCCCUUCCGUCCCCGGCAUCAUGGUGAGCAGAGCACCCUCCCAAACCUAAGUGCACAAUCAUGAAUACGUAUAAGAUUAUGUUGACACGACACUAUACUCAACAACCAAUUUGCAUCGUGACAUAGUAACUAGUAACUCAAAAGUGCAACAAUAGCAUGCCUUGAGAAAUCAACAAAUCAUUAGUUCUGCACAAGCUCACAUCCAAAUUUGUUGUCUCUUUUCUGUGGUGGUGCAGUUCUUGUCUGGUGGACAGUCGGAGGUGGAGGCGACGCUGAACCUGAACGCGAUGAACCAGGCGCCGAACCCGUGGCACGUGUCCUUCUCCUACGCGAGGGCGCUGCAGAACACCUGCCUCAAGACGUGGGGCGGGCGGCCGGAGAACGUCGCGGCAGCGCAGGAGGCGCUGCUGCUGCGCGCCAAGGCCAACUCCCUGGCGCAGCUCGGCAAGUACACCAGCGACGGCGAGGCCGCAGCUGCCAAAGAGAACAUGUUCGUCAAGAACUACAGCUACUGAUCCGUCGGCGAGCUGUCCUAUCUACAUAAUCUACCUACGGAGGGAGAGUGCUAGUAGCGCCUUGAGCAGCUUGAGGGCACCUUAGCCAGCCAGUGUGUCGUCGUUGUUACAGGUCGAGACCAGCUCUGAUGGAAGAGAUGGACGGAGAGCAUAUACUGUGUUUUACCACCCUAAGUAAAAAAACUUUGGAAUGGUUUUACUGCUGUAUUCGCAUGUUUUUUUUCUUCUC